GUCACCUUACAUUCUCUGCAUGGAUAUAAAAGCUGCUUCAUGCUCAGUGGAGAACAUUGACCAGCAAACAGAGAACCCUGAACAGGUGAACAGGAGAGCAUAACUACUCCACGGCAGGAAAGAGAAGUCAAGCUCAAACCAUCUCUGUGAGUGUUUUUCAUCUCCAUUGUCUAUUUCUAUGAGAUACGUUUCCUGCCUUUUCAUGUUUCAAUGUUAUGAAAUGAUAUAAAUGUUCUUUAUCAUUGGUGAUACAUGUAUCUGUUUUCAGGGUGUAGAUGAAUCUUUAAUUAUUGUCUGUGUACAACUAUUAAUGUGUUAUGUCUUGAUAUUUAAAAGUUGUUCUUUUAACUUAAAAGGUUAAAUUAUUUACAAAAUAGCAUGUUUUAUACUUUUUAAAGAAAGUAUGCUAAUAAUACCGGUAAAUGGUAAAAGUUUGUCAAACAUUGUGGUGUUGAUGAAAAUUGAAGUAAAUUUAUUAAUAUGUAACAAAGUACUAAAUGUAAUUACUAAAUGUAUUACUGGUUGAAAUACACCUGAGUUAAUAAUAACAUCUAAAAGAUCUCUUUUUACAACAGGCAACAACUUUCCAUUGACGAUGAAGAUCUGUAUUGUCCUACUUCUGUGUGUUGCGUUAGGAAAUGCAGAAACAACAACAGUUGCAAAUGCAGAGACACGAACUACGGCUGCCCCAGCGACAACUACAGCAGCUCUAACAACUACAGCUGUACCCGCAACAACCACAGUACCAGCUGCAACAACUACAGAUGCCCCUGCAACAACUACAGUAGCAACCACAACAACUACAGUCGCAGCUGCAACAACAACAGUACCAGCCGCAACAACUACAGCCAACCCAACAACAACUACAGUACCAGCUCCAGCAACUACAGUAGCAGCGGCAACAACUACAGUACCAGCUGCAACAACUACAGCUGCACCCGCAACAACUACAGUCACAGCCCGAACAACUACAGUGGUAGCUACAACAACUACAGCCAACCCAACAACAACUUCAGUGGCAGCAACCACCACAAAUACCCCAGCCACAACUACUGCAGCUGUAACAACUACAGCUGCACCUGCAACAACAACAGUACCAGCUGCAUCAACUACAGCACCAGCUGCAACAACCACGGUAGCAGCCGCAACAACUACAGCCAACCCAACAACAACUGAACUACCAGCUGGAACUACUACAGUAGCAGCCGCCACAACCACAGGAGCAGCCGCAACAACUACAGUGGCAGCCACAACUACUACGGUACCAGCCGCAACAACUACAGCCAACCCAACAACAACUACAGUACCAGCUCCAGCAACAACAGUAGCAGCGGCAACAACUACGGUACCAGCCGCAACAACUACAGCAAACGCAACAACAACUGCAGCAGCAGCAACUACCACAAAUGCAGCUGCUACAACUACAGUGGUAGCCGCAACAACUACGGUACCAGCCGCAACAACUAC
ensembl:lncRNA